rnacentral:rRNA from 1 species
UGGGGAAUAUUGCACAAUGGGGGAAACCCUGAUGCAGCAACGCCGCGUGAGUGAAGAAGUAUUUCGGUAUGUAAAGCUCUAUCAGCAGGGAAGAUAAUGACGGUACCUGACUAAGAAGCCCCGGCUAACUACGUGCCAGCAGCCGCGGUAAUACGUAGGGGGCAAGCGUUAUCCGGAUUUACUGGGUGUAAAGGGAGCGCAGGCGGCAGGGCAAGUCAGAUGUGAAAUACUGGGGCUCAACCCCGGGACUGCAUUUGAAACUGUCCGGCUAGAGUGCAGGAGAGGCAGGCGGAAUUCCUAGUGUAGCGGUGAAAUGCGUAGAUAUUAGGAGGAACACCAGUGGCGAAGGCGGCCUGCUGGACUGUAACUGACGCUGAGGCUCGAAAGCGUGGGGAGCAAACAGGAUUAGAUACCCUGGUAGU